UGGCGGACGGGUGAGUAAUGUCUGGGAAACUGCCUGAUGGAGGGGGAUAACUACUGGAAACGGUAGCUAAUACCGCAUAACGUCGCAAGACCAAAGAGGGGGACCUUCGGGCCUCUUGCCAUCAGAUGUGCCCAGAUGGGAUUAGCUAGUAGGUGGGGUAACGGCUCACCUAGGCGACGAUCCCUAGCUGGUCUGAGAGGAUGACCAGCCACACUGGAACUGAGACACGGUCCAGACUCCUACGGGGGCAGCAUG
rnacentral:rRNA from 1 species